AUGCAGCUGUGGGGUCUUUUCCUCUGCCUGGUGACAGGUCCCCAAAGUGUCCUGUCUGACCUGACACUGCAAGAGUCUGACCCAGGACUGGUGAAACCCUCACAGAUCCUGUCCCUCACCUGUGCUGUCUCUGGGGGCUCUGUAACCAGCAGUUACUACUGGAAGUGGAUCUGCCCAUGCCCUGGGAAAGGGUUGGAGUGGAUGGGGUACUGGACAGGAAGUACAAGCUACAACCCUGUUUUCCAAGGCCGAAUCUCCAUCACUGCUGACACAUCCAAGAACCAGUUCUCCCUGCAGCUGAGUUCUGUGACCACCGAGGACACAGCCGUGUAUUACUGUGCAAGAGACAGUGAGAGGAAGUCAGUGUGA